rnacentral:rRNA from 1 species
UACGUAGGGUGCGAGCGUUGUCCGGAAUUAUUGGGCGUAAAGAGCUCGUAGGCGGUUUGUCGCGUCGACUGUGAAAACCUGGGGCUUAACUCUGGGCCUGCAGUCGAUACGGGCAGACUUGAGUUCGGUAGGGGAGACUGGAAUUCCUGGUGUAGCGGUGGAAUGCGCAGAUAUCAGGAAGAACACCGGUGGCGAAGGCGGCUCUCUGGGCCUUACCUGACGCUGAGGAGCGAAAGCGUGGGGAGCGAACAGG